rnacentral:rRNA from 1 species
UACGGGGGGGCAAGCGUUGUUCGGAAUUACUGGGCGUAAAGGGCGCGUAGGCGGCCUGUUAAGUCGAACGUGAAAUCCCCGGGCUCAACCCGGGAACUGGCGUCCGAUACUGGCAGGCUUGAAUCCGGGAGAGGGAUGUGGAAUUCCUGGUGUAGCGGUGAAAUGCGCAGAUAUCAGGAGGAACACCGGUGGCGAAGGCGGAUCUCGUGGGCCAAUUACUGACGCUGAGGAGCGAAAGCGUGGGAGCGAACAG